CGUGGUGUAGCGUGAAGUGGUUUACGCAGCUUGAUUUGAUUCAAGAGAAGCUGGUUCGAAUCCUAGCCACCACGA
rnacentral:tRNA from 1 species